rnacentral:rRNA from 1 species
AUGUACAUUCUUACAACAUAGCGUUAAUGCAUUGGAUCCCAUUAGAACUCUGCAGCUAAGCGCGCUCGGGCUAGAGUAGUACUGGAAUGGGUCCUAAUGUUUUACAUG